GAUGAAGAACGUAUCGAAAUGCGAUACGUAAUGUGAAUUGCAAAUUCAGUGAAUCAUCGAGUCUUUGAACGCACAUUGCGCCCCCUGGUAUUCCGGGGGGCAUGCCUGUCCGAGCGUCAUUGCUGCCCUCAAGCACGGCUUGUGUGUUGGGCCCCGUCCUCCGAUCCCGGGGGACGGGCCCGAAAGGCAGCGGCGGCACCGCGUCCGGUCCUCGAGCGUAUGGGGCUUUGUCACCCGCUCUGUAGGCCCGGCCGGCGCUUGCCGAUCAACCCAAAUUUUUUAUCCAGGUUGACCUCGGAUCAGGUAGGGAUACCCGCUGAACUUAAGCAUAUCAAUAAGCGGAGGA
rnacentral:misc_RNA from 1 species